ACAGAAGCCCUUCGCAUCCCUUCUCAUUUAACCACGAAACGAGCUAAGGACUUGAAAAUCAAAUCCGCUGCAGCUGACGCAAAUAAAAAAUAUAAAAUAAGAACACAAAUUUGAAAUUAAAUUCACCGUUUUUUAGUUUUCAACAAACGUUUGACGUAACAUGUUUAUGUGAUCUGUGUUUCUUCGCAAUUAAUCAUGUCGAAAUACCUGAUCGCUCAUUCCAAGGUUGAGAACGAGGUUCACGAUUUGACCUGGAAUAUCAGCAAUUUCGACUUUGUCUCCUUCCACCGGAAUCGAGACGUCCUGAGCCAGUACGUUCUCCCAUUCACCGUCGGCUCCAGCGUGGGCAAAGUCUCGAGCUGGAAACUUUUCUUGGCGUACGAUCAUGGAAUAUGAAAUAAACUAGGGGAAGAAUCUCAUUUUCCCUGGCGUACGAUACCACUGAAAAUUCCCCGCAUUGUACUUGCAAUUAGUCGAAUACACUGGCACCGACCAGGUUCCCGUUAUCCUGCAAGCCUCCAUUGACAAUGUAUUUGGGUCUAAUGCCAAUGAACUAUUUCAAUUGAAUAAGAAACAUGAUACAUAUUUAGAUAAGAAAGAACCUGCCACCUGGUCACUGCGACAUCAACAGAGCCCUUUCCGUGUAAUUUCGUACGAUACAGCAGAACCGGAACAUCGGCUGCAUCUCCAUUGACUUUGAACGUCUUGGCCAAUGGACAAGCGCAGACUUUCACCCUCAACUCGAUUUUCCAAAAAAUUGCCAGCACCGGCUCCCCGUUCAGGAUGAAAAUCAAGUUUCAAGUUUUUGGCAAAUACAAUUUCACGACUUGCGGAAAUAAUUCGUCGUCAUCUACAAUUAUGGAGAGGGAACAAGCAAAAAGUCUCCAGCGUCAUAAAAAAGGCAUACUUGCCCUGCUGGAAAGUGGGGAUCGGGCCGACGUGACCUUUGAGACGAGGGAUGACCAACGCAUCGCGGCACACAGGCUGAUCCUAUCCAUGCAGAGCUCCGUUUUUGCAGCCAUGUUCGCCACCGAGAUGAAAGAGAAGACUGAAGGUGUCGUCAAGCUGGACGACAUGGGGGCGACGGGCUCAAAAUAUUUUUGAAGUUCGUAUACACUGGAGAACUAGAUGAAAAGUGGGGCGAGUUUUAUGACGAGAUUGUGAACGCGGCGAUUAAGUAUCAAGUCCAUUCCUUGAUCGACAUGUGCCAAGAGAUGCUUCCGACUCUGGCCACGUGGGAAAAUUGUUUCGAGAUCCUGAAACUUGCUGAAUUGCAUGAUAUGGCUGGUGUGAAGAAGAAGGUUGAAGAUUUUAUCAAAAGGGGGAAAUCAAAUUGUACUGUGACCAGGUUAAUUAAAAUGCAGCAUGACUUGGGCAAAC